GGUGAACGCUAGCGGUGCGCCUAACACAUGCAAGUCGAGCGGUAGAAUAAUAAUUGAUUUCUUCGGAAUGAUAAUAUUGUUUGAGAGCGGCGAACGGGUGAGUAAUGUGUUGAUACCUGCCCUUAAGUCAGGGAUAGUCUAGAGAAAUCUAGGUUAAUACCGGAUAGUCUCUUUGGAGUAAAGAUUUAUUGCUUAAGGAGGGGUCUGCAUUCUAUCAGCUUGUUGGUAAGGUAAUGGCUUACCAAGGCUAUGACGGAUAACUGGUCUGAGAGGAUGAUCAGUCACAAUGGAACUGAGACACGGUCCAUACUCCUACGGGAGGCAGCAGUGAGGAAUCUUCCACAAUGGACGAAAGUCUGAUGGAGCGACACCGCGUGAAGGAUGAAGGUCUAACGAUUGUAAACUUCUUUUCUGAGGGAGCAUAAUGAGAGUACCUUAGGAAUAAGGGACGGCUAAAUACGUGCCAGCAGCCGCGGUAAUACGUAUGUCCCAAGCGUUACCCGGAAUUACUGGGUGUAAAGGGUUUGUAGGUGGAAUAAUAAGUCAGAUAUGAAAGACCGGAGCCUAACUUCGUGUUUGUGUUUGAAACUGUUAUUCUAGAAUCAGGGAGAGGUAAGCGGAAUUCUAAGUGUAGGGGUGCAAUCCGUAGAUACUUAGAAGAACACCAAAAGCGAAGGCAGCUUACUGGAACUGUAUUGACGCUCAUAAACGAAAGCGUGGGGAGCGAAAAGGAUUAGAUACCCUUGUAGUCCACGCCCUAAAUGAUGAUAACUAAGUGUUGCUUUUUGAAGCAGUGCUGUAGCUAACGCGUUAAGUUAUCCACCUGAGGAGUACGGUCGCAAGAUUAAAACUCAAAGGAAUAGACGGGGACCCACACAAGCAGUGGAUCACGUGGUUUAAUUCGAUAAUAAACGGGGAAUCUUACCCAGACUUGACAUCCUGAGAAUUCUCUAGAGAUAGAGAAGUGCCUUUAUUGGAGCUCAGUGACAGGUGCUGCAUGGUCGUCGUCAGCUCGUGCCUUGAGGUGUUCGGUUAAGUCCGUUAACGAGCGUAACCCAUGUCCUUAGUUAUUAUGUCUAAGGAGACUGCCUUGGUUAACAAGGAGGAAGGUGUGGAUGACGUCAGAUCAGCAUGGCUUUUACGUCUGGGGCUACACACAUGAUACAAUGGUAUAUACAAAGGGUAGCAAGAAUGUGAAUUUUAGCCAAUCCUAAAAAUAUAUCUCAGUCCGGAUUGGAGUCUGUAACUCGACUCCAUGAAGUUGGAAUUGCUAGUAAUCGUGAAUCAGAUAUGUCACGGUGAAUAUGUUCCUGGGUCU
rnacentral:rRNA from 1 species